rnacentral:rRNA from 1 species
GAUCAUGGCUCAGGACGAACGCUGGCGGCGUGCCUAACACAUGCAAGUCGAGCGGAGACAGUGAGUAGCUUGCUAUGAACUGUUUUAGCGGCGGACGGGUGAGUAACGCGUGAGCAACCUUUCCCAGACAGGGGAAUAACACACCGAAAGGUGUACUAAUACCGCAUAAGACCACGGGAUCACAUGGUUCUGGGGUAAAAGAUUAUCGUUGGGGUGGGCGUCGCGUCCGAUUAGGUAGUUGGUGAGGUAACGGCC